UAGGGAAUCUUCCACAAUGGACGCAAGUCUGAUGGAGCAACGCCGCGUGAGUGAAGAAGGCUUUCGGGUCGUAAAACUCUGUUAUUGAAGAAGAACGUGUGUGACAGUAACUGGUCACGCAGUGACGGUAUUCAAUCAGAAAAGGUCACGGCUAACUACGUGCCAGCAGCCGCGGUAAUACGUAGGUGGCAAGCGUUGUCCGGAUUUAUUGGGCGUAAAGCGAGUGCAGGCGGUCUUUUAAGUCUGAUGUGAAAGCCUUCGGCUUAACCGAAGAAGGGCAUCGGAAACUGGGAGACUUGAGUGCAGAAGA
rnacentral:rRNA from 1 species